rnacentral:lncRNA from 1 species
CAUAUGGAGGUUCCCAGGCUAGGGGGUCAAAUCCGAGUUGUAGCCGACAGCCUACACCACGGCCACAGCCACACCAGAUCCGAGCCGCGUCUGUGACCUAUAUCACAGCUCACAGCAACGCCGGAUCCUUCACCCACUGAGUGAGGCCAGGGAUCGAACCUGCGCCCUCACGGUUCCCAGUCAGAUUCGUUUCCCCUGCACCAUGACGGGAACUCCCGGAGAGACUUUUAACAAGAAUUUUCAUUGAUGGGUAGUUGAUGUACUAUGUUGUGCUAAUUUGUGCUGGGCGGUGGUUCGGGUAUACAUAGAGAUACAUUCUGUUUCCUAUUCUGUUCUGUUAGGGUUUGUCACAGGUUGAAUAUAGAGAGCUCCCUGGGCUGGGCAGUGGGACCUUGUUGAACUUUUUUGUUGUUGUUGUUGUCGUUUUUUAAAGUUUCAUUGCGGUGGACUUCAUGUGCAGCGUUGGGAUCCUUUCUGCUGUGUAGCAAAGUGACUCAGGCAUCCGUGUCCACACAUCUGUUCUUGCUGAGAUUCUUUUCCCACAGAGAUGAUCACGGGGUAGUGGGUAGAGCUCCCUGUGCUGGACAGCAGGUCCCUGUUGGCCCGUCAUUCCAUAGACCUGAGGGUGCACGUGCCAACCCCGCACCCCCCAUCCAUCCCUGCCCCCACCUGUCCCCUUUGGUCACCGAAAGAUUGUUUUCAAAGUCUGUGAGUCUUUCUGUCCUGCCAAUAAGGUCAUUGCUGUCCUUUUUUCUAGAUUCCACGUGUAAGUGAUAUCAUGUGAUGUUUGCCUUUCUCUUUCUGACUUACGUAGUGUGACAAUCUCUAGGUCCAUCCAUACUGCUGCUGAUGGCAUGAUUUUGUUCUUUUUCAUGGCUGCAUUGUAUUCCGUUGUAUGUAUGUACCAUGCCUACACGUCCAUCAGCAGAGGACUGGAUAAAGAUGUGGCACAUAUACUUUAUGGAAUACAUCUCAGCUGUAAAAAAGAAUGAUGGAAGGUAACAUAAGAAAGGGAAUGUGUGUGUGUGUGUUGUGUGUGUGUGUAUCUGACUGUUACUUUGCAAUGUAGCAGAAAUUAGCAUAUUGUAAAUCAACUCUAAUAAAAAUUUUUUUAAAAUAAAAUUCUUCUACCACCACCACCAACAAAGAAUGAAAUCAUGCCAUUUGCAGCAACAUGGAUAGACCUGGAAAUAAACUAUUUGUUUUUUUUAGAGCCACAUCUGCUCCUGGGAACUUCCAUAUGCUGCAGGUGCGGCUCUAAAAAAAAAAAUUAAUAAAAAAUAAGGGCGUGGCUUGAGCCCAGUGCCAGCUCAGCUUUUCUGUCUCCCUGGGGGGCACUUGUGGGAAAGCCACUGGCCUCCCUUCUUCCUCCUGAGUCAGAAUUUGUGUGCGGGCUCUUUAAAGCCACUGCCUCAGAGAAAGCAGUGGAAAAAAAAAAAGACUCCACAAAAGGCAGAAUUUUUACAGUGAUGUCAUUUCAGUAGUGGGAAGGACCAGAGGUUAAUUUGGCCCUCGGAGACCUGAAUUUUGGCUCUUCUGGUCAACUGCACAUAUUUCUGUGGGGCUGGAAAAUCAUGACCCAGAUGCCCAAAGGCCGGAGACAGGGCACCGGCCUCGUUCCUGAGCCCUGUCACCCCCACCCCCGUCCCCGGAACACACGCUCACGGCCUGUCUUCUGGGACCUGUGCUCUUUCUCUCCCGACCCUAACGGGGUCGCCCUGUGACCCAUUAGGGGGAGCGAUGCGGCUUUCAGAAUAUCACCUGGGAAAGACUUGGGGCUGCAGCCGAGACCCCCUAAUUCUGACUUUGCAAACCUUUGCUGGGGUCCUGGUGAGAAGUCCGGCUGGUGUAUUUGGCAGAAAACAUCCAGAACUCACUAUCUGUCUUUCUGUCUGUCUCUCUUCUUCCUUCCCUCCUUCCUUCUCUCUUUCUCUCUCCCUCCCCCACAGCCCUGGGUCCUGCUUAGCCAUUGAAACCCCCCGAAGUCCCCAGGGUGUCUGUCUGUCUCACAUCGAAUCCCAUUCUUCCCCCACGUGCACCUGGACUCGGGUUACUGACCUCACGAGCCAGGCCGGGCUCAGAAGGAAGCUGUAGCUCUCUGUCCCUUGACGUCUGAAUUUAAAGCUUGACACCUCCCCCCCCCUUUGGGAGGCUUUAUCUGCAUGUGUGCCCCAUACACCCUGGGGUCCUGCAGGCCAUGAGGGCAGGCAAGCGCUCUGCUCUCCAGCCCUGUCCCCCAGUCCCUGCGAAUCUGUACUCUGACCAAAGUCGCUCCAGCAUGUUUUAGUUUUGGUUUGGUUUGGGGGUGUUUUUUUCCCCCCCUUUUUUUUUUUACAACUGCUGGGUCCACAUUGCCCGGGCCGCUGCCUGCGGCGGGGACUGUUUGGCGACCUGUUCAGGGAUGCGGUUGCGUGGAUGUGCCUUCCUGACGGUGGUGGAAGGUCCUUGUCAGCGGUCGGCCGCGGGGGGCAGGCAGCCGGCCCGCGGGAGCCUUGCCCAGGUCCCACUGCCCACUGGAGGGACGGAUGGACAGAUGGGCGCCGCCCUGGAUGCAGGGAGCAUCCUCUCGUCAGAGGGAGAGGAGAUGCUGCUGGGGUUCCGCACGCCUCCUCCCCCGCCCCCGAGCACAGCUGGAGGUGUUGGGGCUCCAGACCUGAGUGUGGCCUGGGCGCGCUGGGGGGCCCUGGCGUGCUUAGCCCUCUCCCUGUGCCUCCGUCCCCCGCUUUCGUUUUGUGGCCUCGAUUCCCCUGUGACUCCUCCCUGGCAUUUUUCUCUUGGUUGUCAUGGAAAAGGGCCGCUUGUUCUGCACCCCUAAAAA